AAUGAAUUGACGGGGGCCCGCACAAGCGGUGGAGCAUGUGGUUUAAUUCGAUGCAACGCGAAGAACCUUACCUGGUCUUGACAUCCACAGAACUUUCCAGAGAUGGAUUGGUGCCUUCGGGAACUGUGAGACAGGUGCUGCAUGGCUGUCGUCAGCUCGUGUUGUGAAAUGUUGGGUUAAGUCCCGCAACGAGCGCAACCCUUAUCCUUUGUUGCCAGCGGUUAGGCCGGGAACUCAAAGGAGACUGCCAGUGAUAAACUGGAGGAAGGUGGGGAUGACGUCAAGUCAUCAUGGCCCUUACGACCAGGGCUACACACGUGCUACAAUGGCAUAUACAAAGAGAAGCGACCUCGCGAGAGCAAGCGGACCUCAUAAAGUAUGUCGUAGUCCGGAUUGGAGUCUGCAACUCGACUCCAUGAAGUCGGAAUCGCUAGUAAUCGUAGA
rnacentral:rRNA from 1 species